rnacentral:rRNA from 1 species
GAUGAACGCUAGCUACAGGCUUAACACAUGCAAGUCGAGGGGAAACGGCAUCGAAAGCUUGCUUUUGAUGGGCGUCGACCGGCGCACGGGUGAGUAACGCGUAUCCAACCUGCCCAUCACUUGGGAAUAACCUUGCGAAAGUAAGACUAAUGCCCAAUGACAUCCCACGAAGGCAUCCGAAUGGGAUUAAAGAUUUAUCGGUGAUGGAUGGGGAUGCGUCUGAUUAGCUUGUUGGCGGGGUGACGGCCCACCAAGGCAACGAUCAGUAGGGGUUCUGAGAGGAACGUCCCCCACAUUGGAACUGAGACACGGUCCAAACUCCUACGGGAGGCAGCAGUGAGGAAUAUUGGUCAGUGGGCGAGAGCCUGAACCAGCCAAGUAGCGUGCAGGAUGACGGCCCUAUGGGUUGUAAACUGCUUUUAUAAGGGAAUAAAGUGGGUCACGUGUGACUUUUUGCAUGUACCUUAUGAAUAAGGACCGGCUAAUUCCGUG